rnacentral:ncRNA from 21 species
UCUGGUUUUGACGUCUUCGGUGCCUCGCGUGCGAGGUGAAACUGGGAAUACGGUGCGGUGUUUUUCACCUAAUCCGUAGCUGCCCCCGCAACUGUAGGCGGAUCUGUCCGGAUCAUGUAGCCACUGACGUCCUCGGCGUCGGGAAGGCGGUCCAGGCGAUAUCCGUGAGCCAGGAGACCGGCCGAAGACGGGAAGCAUCUA